AUCCAACUGACGAGUCCCAAAUGGGACGAAACGCGCAUCCUGGAA
rnacentral:hammerhead_ribozyme from 1 species